AGAGUUUGAUCCUGGCUCAGAGUGAACGCUGGCGGCAGGCCUAAUACAUGCAAGUCGAACGGCAGCACAGCUUAAGCUUGCUUAAGUGGGUGGCGAGUGGCGGACGGGUGAGGAAUACAUGGGAAUCUGCCCAGUCGUGGGGGAUAACGUAUGGAAACGUACGCUAAUACCGCAUGCGCCCUUCGGGGGAAAGCCGGGGACCUUCGGGCCUGGCGCGAUUGGAUGAGCCCAUGUCGGAUUAGCUAGUUGGUGGGGUAAAGGCCCACCAAGGCGACGAUCCGUAGCUGGUCUGAGAGGAUGAUCAGCCACACUGGAACUGAGACACGGUCCAGACUCCUACGGGAGGCAGCAGUAGGGAAUAUUGGACAAUGGGCGCAAGCCUGAUCCAGCCAUGCCGCGUGAGUGAAGAAGGCCUUCGGGUUGUAAAGCUCUUUUGUCCGGAAAGAAAAGCACUGGGUUAAUACCCUGGUGUCCUGACGGUACCGGAAGAAUAAGCACCGGCUAACUUCGUGCCAGCAGCCGCGGUAAUACGAAGGGUGCAAGCGUUACUCGGAAUUACUGGGCGUAAAGCGUGCGUAGGUGGUUCGUUAAGUCUGAUGUGAAAGCCCUGGGCUCAACCUGGGAAUUGCAUUGGAUACUGGCGGGCUAGAGUGCGGUAGAGGGUAGUGGAAUUCCCGGUGUAGCAGUGAAAUGCGUAGAGAUCGGGAGGAACAUCUGUGGCGAAGGCGACUACCUGGACCAGCACUGACACUGAGGCACGAAAGC
rnacentral:rRNA from 1 species